rnacentral:rRNA from 1 species
AGCGAACGCUGGCGGCAGGCCUAACACAUGCAAGUCGAACGAACUCUUCGGAGUUAGUGGCGGACGGGUGAGUAACACGUGGGAACGUGCCUUUAGGUUCGGAAUAACUCAGGGAAACUUGUGCUAAUACCGAAUGUGCCCUUCGGGGGAAAGAUUUAUCGCCUUUAGAGCGGCCCGCGUCUGAUUAGCUAGUUGGUGAGGUAAAGGCUCACCAAGGCGACGAUCAGUAGCUGGUCUGAGAGGAUGAUCAGCCACAUUGGGACUGAGACACGGCCCAAACUCCUACGGGAGGCAGCGGUGGGGCAUCUUGCGCAAUGGGCGAAAGCCUGACGCAGCCAUGCCGCGUGAAUGAUGAAGGUCUUAGGAUUGUAAAAUUCUUUCACCGGGGACGAUAAUGACGGUACCCGGAGAAUAAGCCCCGGCUAACUUCGUG